rnacentral:rRNA from 1 species
AAUAGAGCUUUGCUCGUGUACCAAAUCAGGUGGGNNNNNNNNNNNUUGGCGGAAAUGCCUUGUCGGCUUGCCUGCGAAUUGUAAUAUCAUAUGUGCGGGGGUGAAUCCUUUGCAGACGACUUGAAUGGGAACGGGGUACUGUAAGCAGUAGAGUAGCCUUGUUGCUACGAUCUGCUGAGGUUAAGCCCUUGUUCUAAAGAUUUGUUCAGCCUCGAGUUGAACUCUUCUCCCUCCAUGGCU